rnacentral:rRNA from 1 species
GAUCCUGGCUCAGGACGAACGCUGGCGGCGCGCCUAACACAUGCAAGUCGAACGAGCGAGAGAGAGCUUGCUUUCUCGAGCGAGUGGCGAACGGGUGAGUAACGCGUGAGGAACCUGCCUCAAACGAGGGGGACAACAGUUGGAAACGACUGCUAAUACCGCAUAAGCCCACGACCCGGCAUCGGGGUAGAGGGAAAAGGAGAAAUCCGCUUUGAGAUGGCCUCGCGUCCGAUUAGCUAGUUGGUGAGG